GUGCAGCCGCCGCGGUAACACCGGCAGCCCAAGUGGUGGCCGCUUUUAUUGGGCCUAAAGCGUCCGUAGCCGGCCAGGUAAGUCCCUGUGUAAAUCUUCAGGCUUAACUUGAAGAAUUGCGGGGAUACUGCUUGGCUUGGGGCCGGAAGACGUGGAGGGUACUCCGGGGGUAGCGGUGAAAUGCUGUAAUCCUCGGGGGACCACCAGUGGCGAAGGCUCUCCACGAGGACGGGCCCGACGGUGAGGGACGAAAGCCAGGGGCGCGAACGGGAUUAGAUACCCCGGUAGUCCUGGCCGUAAACGCUGCAGGCUUGGUGUUGCACGCUCUACGGGGGCGUGCAGUGCCGAAGCGAAGGCGAUAAGCCUGCCGCCUGGGAAGUACGCUCGCAAGAGUGAAACUCAAAUGAAUUGACGG
rnacentral:rRNA from 1 species